rnacentral:rRNA from 1 species
UUCGAUCCUGGCUCAGAUUGAACGCUGGCGGGAUGCUUUACACAUGCAAGUCGAACGGCAGCACGGACUUCGGUCUGGUGGCGAGUGGCGAACGGGUGAGUAAUGUAUCGGAACGCCUGGUAGCGCGGGGAUAACUACGCGAAAGCGUAGCCAUUACCGCAUACGCCCUUCGGGGAAAGCGGGGGACCUUUCGCCCUCGCACCAUUAGAGCGGCCGAUAUCGGAUUAGCUAGUUGGUGGGGUAACGGCUCACCAAGGCGACGAUCCGUAGCUGGUUUGAGAGGGACGACCAGCCACACUGGGACUGAGACGGCCCAGACUCCUACGGAGGCAAGGUGGGGAAUUUUGAGCAAUGGGGAAACUUCGGAUCCAGCCAUCCCGCGUGCGAUGUAGGCCUUCGGAGCAAAAGCACUUUUGGCAGGGAAAGAACGGCACGGGAUAAUACCCCGUGCAACUGACGGUACCUGCAGAAUAAGCACCGGUUAAUCAAGGCCAGCAGCCGCGGUAAUACGUAGGGUGCAAGCGUUAAUCGGAAUUACUGGGCGUAAAGCGUGUGCAGGCGGUCUGUUGUUACGAAAUCCCGUAUUAACUGGAACUGCAUUUUUUAACUACCGAGCUAGAGCGUGGUCAGAGGGAGGUGAAUUCCAUGGCAAGUGGUAAUAAAUAUGCAGAUAUGCGGAGGCAACACCGAUGGGCGAAGGUGUUCUGGAGGACGACUGAUUACUUAUAACGAAAGCGUGGGGAGGUAAACAAGAUUGACAACUUUAGAGACCACGCCCAAACGAUGCCACCAUGUUGCAUUUCGGGUCUGCAGCGCAGCAAUGUGUCAACGCCUGGGGAGUAUGUAAUGCAAACAUUAAACUCAGCGAAUUGACGGGGACUCCGCACAAGCGGUGGAUGAUGUGGAUUAAUUCGAUGCAACGCGAAAAACCUUACCUACCCUUGACAUGUCUGGAAUCCCGAAGAGAUUUGGGAGUGCUUCGCAAGAGAACCGAACACAGGUGCUGGCAUGGCUGUCGUCAGGCUCGUGUCGUGAUGUUGGGUUAAGCCCCGCAACGAGCGCAACCCUUGUCAUUAGUUACAUGAAAGGGCACCUAAUGAGAUCGCCGGUGACAAACCGGAGGAAGGUGGGGAUGACGUCAAGUCCUCAUGAAGCCCUGGUGGGUGCAGGGCUUCACACGUCAGCGUUGCUGGGAGAGGGACGCCAACCGCGAGGGAGCCAAUCCUGGUGAAACCGAUCAGAACUGGAUCGCAGUCUGCAACUCGACUGCGUGAAGUCGGAAUCGCUAGUAAUCGCGGAUCAGCAUGUCGCGGUGAAUACGUUCCCGGUCUUGUACACACCGCCUGUCACACCAUGGGAGUGGGUUUUACCAGAAGUAGUUAGCCUAACCGUAAGGAGGGCGAUUACCACGGUAGGAUUCAUGACUGGGGUGAAGUCGUAAUAAGGUAGCUCUGUUACCGAUG